rnacentral:rRNA from 1 species
GNNUCUGCUCAAUGAUUUUUUAAAUUGCUGUGGUAUUUUGACUAUACAAAGGUAUUGAAAUAAGAUUUUAAUUGAAUGCUAAGAGAAUGGACUNUCAGAGAAAAACUUUUUUUAAAUUAAAAAUUGAAAUUUUUUUAAUUUGUGCAGAAACAAUUAUUAAUAUUAAGGACAAGAAGACCCUANGAAUUUAUUAAAUUUCAUUCAAUAUGUAAUUANUAUUGAAGAAAUUUUGGCUGGGGCGGCUAAAAAAUAUUUUAAACUUUUUAAAAAUAAAAUGAUCCAUUAUUAAUGAUUAUAUGUUAAAUACUCUAGGGAUAACAGC